ACCUGGUUGAUCCUGCCAGUAGUCAUACGCUUGUCUCAAAGAUUAAGCCAUGCAUGUCUAAGUAUAAACAAUUUUGUACUGUGAAACUGCGAAUGGCUCAUUAUAUCAGUUAUAGUCUACUCGAUAGUACCUUACUACUUGGAUACCCGUAGUAAUUCUAGAGCUAAUACAUGCAUCAAUACCCAACUGCUUGUCGGGCGGGUAGCAUUUAUUAGAUUGAAACCAAUGCAGUCUUCGGGCUGGUAUUGUGUUGAGUCAUAAUAACUGUGCGGAUCGCGCUUUUGCGCGAUAAAUCGAUUGAGUUUCUGCCCUAUCAGCUUUGGAUGGUAGGAUAUGGGCCUACCAUGGCAUUAACGGGUAACGGGGAAUUAGGGUUUGAUUCCGGAGAGGGAGCCUUAGAAACGGCUACCACAUCCAAGGAAGGCAGCAGGCGCGUAAAUUACCCAAUCCUGACACAGAGAGGUAGUGACAAUAAAUAACAAUGCUCUGGCUCUUCGAGUCGGGCAAUUGGAAUGAGAACAAUUUAAAUCCCUUAACGAGGAUCAAUUGGAGGGCAAGUCUGGUGCCAGCAGCCGCGGUAAUUCCAGCUCCAAUAGCGUAUAUUAAAGUUGUUGCAGUUAAAAAUCUCGUAGUUGGAUUUCUGUUUUGGAUGUCCGGUCCGCUCCUCUGGGAGUGUGUACUUAUGGAUAUUCGAGGCAUUUUUUGUGAGGCUGCCUUUCUGCCAUUAAGUUGGUGGGUUGGUGGGCUUGCAUCGUUUACUGUGAAAAAAUUAGAGUGUUUAAAGCAGGCGUUUGCUCAUUUGAAUACAUUAGCAUGGAAUAAUAAGAUACGGCCUUGGUGGUCUAUUUUGUUGGUUUGCACACCAGGGUAAUGAUUAAUAGGGACAGUUGGGGGUAUUCAUAUUUCAGCGUCAGAGGUGAAAUUUUUGACUAACGAUCACUCGGGUAUUAAAUACCCUUCCUCUGUGUAAGGUGCUGUGUGACCCCAUCACAUUGAGGUAUCGAGGUCCCUCCAUCCAUUCAUGAAUCGCUGCUCCAACGCUAAUUGUGGAGUGCAAACUGUCUGUGGAACACAGAGCCUUCUUUUACUGCUGCUUGAGCUUCCUAAUCACGUCUGGUGGGACGCUAAGCUUAAAGUUAAGACUAAAAUCUCGGUUUUCGGCAAGCUUUAUACGAUGUUACAGCACUCGUUUAUCACUAAUUCGCAGAUAUCAGAUUUACUACCAUUGAUAGCGAUUUCCGAAGGCUAUGGGGAAGCUCGUGAGUGCGGCCGUCGACUGCAAGGCGACAGGUUGUGGGCCGCAGCCUCGGCUUCCAAGCGGAAAGCGCGUGAGCGCGACGUCAGUUGUCGCUGGUAGUAAGGAUAGAGCUAACGGUCUCAGACUUCUCCGCUGUCCUCGUGUAGAAACGAUGCCAGGGGAAGCUCCAGAUUAAGGCCGAUCGUGUGGAUGAUCUUGGACGCCGGCUAUGCGUGCAGCAAUGUUACAGCACUCGUAUAUCACUAAUUUCGCAGAUAUCAGAUUUACUACCAUUGAUAGCGAUUUCCGAAGGCUAUGGGGAAGCUCGUGAGUGCGGCGUCGACUGCAAGGCGGACAGCUCGUGGGCGCAGCGUCGGCUGCCAAGCCGGAAAGCGCGUGAGCGCGACGUCAGUUGUCGCUGGUAGUAAGGAUAGAGCUAACGGUCUCGGACUACCCCACUGACCUCGUGUAGAAACGAUGCCAGGGGAAGUUCCAGAUUAAGGCCGAUCGUGUGGAUGACCUGGACGCCGGCUAUGCGUGCAGCAAUGUUACAGCACUCGUAUAUCACUAAUUCGCAGAUAUCAGAUUUACUACCAUUGAUAGCGAUUUCCGAAGGCUAUGGGGAAGCUCGUGGCUGC
rnacentral:rRNA from 1 species